UCCUAAAGACCCAAAGAGCUCGGGAUCA
rnacentral:piRNA from 1 species